GUGCUCACUUUGGCAGCACAUGUACUAGAAUUGGAAUAAUACAGAGAAGAUUAGGAUGGCCCCUGUGCAAGGGUGACAUGCAAAUUCAUGAAGCAUUCCAUAUUAAA
ensembl:snRNA U6 U6 spliceosomal RNA